UACGUAGGGGGCAAGCGUUGUCCGGAUUCAUUGGGCGUAAAGAGCGUGUAGGCGGCCAGGUAGGUCGGUUGUGAAAACUGGAGGCUCAACUUCGAGCUGUCGGUGGAAACUUUCUGGCUAGAGUCCGGAAGAGGAGAAUGGAAUUCCUGGUGUAGCGGUGAAAUGCGCAGAUAUCAGGAAGAACACCCGUGGCGAAGGCGGUUCUCUGGGACGGUACUGACGCUGAGACGCGAAAGCGUGGGGAGCGAACAGG
rnacentral:rRNA from 1 species